AUUAUCCUAAUAUAUAUAGUAUAUUUGACUUCCAAUCAAAAAGUUUGUAUAAUACAAGGUUAAUA
rnacentral:tRNA from 1 species